AAGAGAACACUCUGAGGUGUUCCUAAACAGGCUCCUAUAGAGAAAGUCCUUUGCUUUAGCAUUUUUCUGAACUAGCUGACGAUCUUCCUCAUCAUAUUCCUCUCCUCCUUUGUUGCACCUUUUACUCUCAUUGUCCUAUUUAGUUGGGAGUGAUGGUCCAUGACCGACAGUUACCCAUAGGUCAAAGUCAGUAGCCUGAAAAAAUAUUUCCAUACGUAACCUCCAUUCAUCAUAAUGGUGUUCAUCAAACAAAGGAGGUCUUCCAAGCUGUGCUGAGGGUUUUUGUUUUCGCAACUUGGGGUUCAUCAAUCACCGCAUAGAGACUUAUAACCUCAUCCUCUUUUUCUUCUUCUUGAUUACUUCCACUGUCCUUAUAUGCUGCCAAGAAUGCCCGUUUUAUUGCUUCAAUAAAUACUUUGCCUAGAUUUUUUCCUUUGUUAGAACCUUUUUCUCUUAUCUUCUCCAAUUUCACUUUUUAGCUCGUUCUUCCUUCGCUUAAUUUCUUAUAUUGGGAAGUCCUUGACCAUGUGAUCUAGCUUGCCACACUUAUAACACCAAUCACAGUUAGUUUUUUC
rnacentral:lncRNA from 1 species